rfam:Trichomonas vaginalis G3, whole genome shotgun sequence.
CAUCAAAAACCAAGUCUCUAAGCAAUGGAUGUCUUGGCUCCUCACACGAUGAAGAACGUGGCAUAAUGUGUUAAGUAACCGGAGUUGCAAACAUCAUGACAGGUUAAUCUUUGAAUGCAAAUUGCGCUAAACUCGAUCUCGGUCGAGAAGCAUGGGUGUGACAGUACUACAUCUUUUAUAAUAAUUCUUAUUCUAAGCGAAUAAGUAAAUAAUAUAUAAGACAAACAACACGUAGUCUGCCAUACGCAGGAAGACCCGCUGAACUGAAGCAUCUCAUUAAGCGGAGGAAAAGAAACUAACUAGGAUUCCCUUAGUAAAGGCGAUCGAAAAGGGAACAGCCCAACGUCUUUAUCCCGCAAGGGAAAUGUAGUCGGUUCACCUAUUGCACUGGUCUAAGUCAGAUGGAAUGCUGCGCGAUUCAGAGUAAAAGCCUCGUAUGACCAACCGCAGGCUUACGAUGGAACCGGGGGAGAGUCGG